GCUUUCGGGCGUGAGGCGAGUGGCGGACGGGUGAGUAACACGUGAGCAAUCUGUCCCUGUGCGGGGGACAACCCGGGGAAACUCGGACUAAUACCGCAUGGUCGGUCACCUCUUGGGAGGAGACCGGGAAAGACGGCCUCUUUACAAUGCUGUCGCGCAGGGAGGAGCUCGCGGGCUAUCAGCUAGUUGGUGCGGUCACGGCGCACCAAGGCAACGACGGCUACGGGGUCUGAGAGGACGACCCCGCACAUUGGAACUGAGACACGGUCCAGACUCCUACGGGAGGCAGCAGUGGGGAAUUUUGGGCAAUGGCCGAAAGGCUGACCCAGCGACGCCGCGUGUGGGAGGAAGCCCUUCGGGGUGUAAACCACUGUCAGGGGGGACGAACGAGGUGGGCAGUAAUCCUGCUCACCAGUGACGGUACCCCCAAAGGAAGCGCCGGCUAACUCUGUGCCAGCAGCCGCGGUAAUACAGAGGGCGCAAGCGUUGUUCGGAAUUACUGGGCGUAAAGCGCGCGCAGGCGGAACGGUAAAGUCCGGAGUGAAAUCUCGCCGCUCAACGGCGAGGCUGCUUUGGAUACUGACGAUCUAGGGACCGGUAGAGGCUGGUAGAAUUGCAGGUGUAGCGGUGGAAUGCGUAGAGAUCUGCAAGAAUACCCGUGGCGAAGGCGGCCAGCUGGGCCGGGUCCGACGCUGAGGCGCGAAAGCGUGGGGAGCAAACA
rnacentral:rRNA from 1 species